rnacentral:rRNA from 1 species
GCUUACCAUGCAAGUCGAACGGGACUGCUAUGAAGGAGUUUUCGGACAACGGAUUAGUAGUUUAGUGGCGGACUGGUGAGUAACGCGUGAGGAACCUGCCUUUCAGAGGGGGAUAACAGCUGGAAACGGCUGCUAAUACCGCAUGAUAUAUUUGAGUGGCAUCACUCGGAUAUCAAAGAUUUAUCGCUGAAAGAUGGCCUCGCGUCUGAUUAGCUAGUUGGUGAGGUAACGGCCCACCAAGGCGACGAUCAGUAGCCGGACUGAGAGGUUGACCGGCCACAUUGGGACUGAGAUACGGCCCAGACUCCUACGGGAGGCAGCAGUGGGGAAUAUUGGGCAAUGGGCGAAAGCCUGACCCAGCAACGCCGCGUGAAGGAAGAAGGCUUUCGGGUUGUAAACUUCUUUGACAGGGGAAGAGUAGAAGACGGUACCCUGAAAACAAGCCACGGCUAACUACGUGCCAGCAGCCGCGGUAAUACGUAGGUGGCAAGCGUUGUCCGGAUUUACUGGGUGUAAAGGGCGUGCAGCCGGGAAGGCAAGUCAGAUGUGAAAUCCGUGGGCUUAACCCACGAACUGCAUUUGAAACUGCUUUUCUUGAGUAUCGGAGAGGUAAUCGGAAUUCCUAGUGUAGCGGUGAAAUGCGUAGAUAUUAGGAAGAACACCAGUGGCGAAGGCGGAUUACUGGACGACAACUGACGGUGAGGCGCGAAAGCGUGGGGAGCAAACAGGAUUAGAUACCCUGGUAGUCCACGCUGUAAACGAUCGAUACUAGGUGUGCGGGGACUGACCCCCUGCGUGCCGCAGUUAACACAAUAAGUAUCGCACCUGGGGAGUACGAUCGCAAGGUUGAAACUCAAAGGAAUUGGCGGGGGCCCGCACAAGCGGUGGAUUAUGUGGUUUAAUUCGAAGCAACGCGAAGAACCUUACCAGGACUUGACAUCCUACUAACGAGGUAGCGAUACGUCAGGUGCCCUUCGGGGAAAGUAGAGACGGUGGGUGCAUGGUUGUCGUCAGCUCGUGUCGUGAGAAUGUU